rnacentral:rRNA from 1 species
CUAUAGAAUUUUAUAUUAACUUUACCUAGCGGUUAAUGCUGGUUUUUUGUUAAUAUUUGGUUGGGAGGAUUAUUAAAUUUAACAAACUUUAUAUCAUUAUAAACUUUGAUUUAAGAAAAUAUAAUGAUCUUCAAUUUGAAAUAGUUAGAGUAAAUUACCUUAGGGAUAACAGCGUAAUAUUUUUUUAUAGACCUUAUAGAAAAAAAUGGUUGCGACCUCGAUGUUGAAUUAAGAUAAAUUUUAAAUGCAGGAGUUUAAUAAUUAAGUCUGU